rnacentral:rRNA from 1 species
AUGGUACAAGAACAGAAAGGAGAAACAUCCAGUGGCAUGUAUACUUACAAGCAUCAUGGUGACAAGGGAGUUGAUAUCCAUGAGAUUUUCGUUAAGAAGAGCAGAACCCGUGUUCUGCUGUCAUACUGUGGCCUCAUUUUACUUCUAGCAAUUGUCUGCCGAUCAUUGCUGGGAAAGGAAAAGUUGUGUCUUGAGUCAGUGUGGAGUGUUACCUUUGGAAUUCUGGUUGCCAAAUGUUUGCAAUACAAACCAGUGAAGAAAGAGUCAGUAGUGAUAAUGCCAUCUUUUGGGGUUCAGCUAGAAAUACAUUUCUGGAGCGGAAGAGUUGAUCGUCAUUUUGUGCCAAUUGGCAAGAUUCUAAAGCCACUGCUGAACGAGUGUGUGACACCCGUGACCUGUUACUGGAGCUUGGCGUUGCUUCUGCGUGAUGAGGAGGAGCUCAAGCUAGUUUUCCAGAAAUUUCGCCCACCUGUCAAAAUGUUGGUCCCUAUCUGGAGAGCUCUCUGUGCAUUCACAGACUCUGAAUGCAGAAGCCGGCAUUCUGCAGUUUCUAAACCGAAUCGUUCAGAAGCGUGA